rnacentral:rRNA from 1 species
ACGUUCGGAUUGCAGCCUGCAACUCGGCUGCAUGAAGCUGGAAUCGCUAGUAAUCGCGGAUCAGAAUGCCGCGGUGAAUACGUUCCCGGGUCUUGUACACACCGCCCGUCACACCAUGGGAGCCGGAAACGCCCGAAGCCAGCGGCCCAACCGCGAGGAGGGAGCUGUCGAAGGCGGGUCCGGUGACCGGGGUGAAGUCGUAACAAGGUAUC